GGUGAUUAUUAUUAUGCAUGUCCUGGACCUGAGUGGUAAUGUAAUUAUGUUGUGUAUUUUGUAUCAGUCUACUCUCAGGUCCAGUGGGGAAUGCCCCUGGAAUGUGUAUUCAGAAACCCCUUGCAUGGGGACUCAUAAAAGGCAGUGUGUGGCUCCAUUAAAACCAGUUAUACCCCCAGAGCUGAGUGUCGUCCAGUUGCUGAGGAGGAGGGGGGAGAUUCCUGGAGUAAUUUUCUGUGUUUGGCUGUUCCCUUGGAGUAUUCUACUUGUUCCUGAGUGUAUGUUGGAGAAAC